AGAAUCAACGCUGGCGGCGUGCCUAACACAUGCAAGUCGAACGCGAAAGCCCCGCAAGGGGUAAGUAGAGUGGCAAACGGGUGAGUAACACGUGGGUGACCUGCCUUCGAGUGGGGGAUAACGUCCCGAAAGGGACGCUAAUACCGCAUGAUAUCCUGCCUUUGGAAAGGUGGAGAUCAAAGCUGGGGAUCGCAAGACCUGGCGCUUGAAGAGGGGCCCGCGCCUGAUUAGCUAGUUGGUGGGGUAACGGCUCACCAAGGCUACGAUCAGUA
rnacentral:rRNA from 1 species